rnacentral:rRNA from 1 species
AUUGAACGCUGGCGGCAGGCCUAACACAUGCAAGUCGAACGAGUGGCGGACGGGUGAGUAAUGUCUGGGAAACUGCCUGAUGGAGGGGGAUAACUACUGGAAACGGUAGCUAAUACCGCAUACCAUCAGAUGUGCCCAGAUGGGAUUAGCUAGUGGGUGGGGUAACGGCUCACCUAGGCGAAGAUCCCUAGCUGGUCUGAGAGGAGGACCAGCCACACUGGAACUGAGACACGUUCCAGACUCCUACGGGAGGCAGCAGUGGGGAAUAUUGCACAAUGGGCGCAAGCCUGAUGCAGCCAUGCGGCGUGUGUGAAGAAGGCCGUCGUGUUAUAAAGCACUUUCAGCGGGGAGGCGUUACCCGCAGAAGAAGCACCGGCUAACUCCGUGCCAGCCGCCGCGGUAAUAC